AUGAACGCUGGCGGCGUGGAUAAGGCAUGCAAGUCGAACGGUCUUCUUUAUUGAAGAAGAUGCGAUUACAUCAAAUUAACAGAUAUUUUGAAAACAGUGGCGAACGAGCUAGUAACACCUUGGUACGUACCCGAAAGUUUGGUAUAGCUCGCCGAAAGGCGGGGUAAUCCCAAAUAGUCCCUUCAUCUAUCGGAUGAUAGGGUAAAGUAGCAAUACGCUUUCGGAUCGGCCUAGGUCCGAUCAGUUAGUUGGUGAGGUAAUGGCUCACCAAGACAAUGACCGGUAGGGG
rnacentral:rRNA from 1 species